GAUCAGAUGAUUUCAUGCACUAAUGAACAUUCCAGAUUUUGUGAUGAUCCCCAAUACUGCCCACCUAGGAACUGGGUGAUUACUAUGCCGGGCGGUCACACCUGUUGGAUGUACCUAGGUGAAGGUCAGGCUCCCUCCCCACUGGGCCCCACGCAGCCUGGGCACCAGCCCUUGGCUCACACCUGCUGCCAGGUAGCAGCCAGGGAGACUUCUUAUGCAGCCCGCUUGUUUCAAAGGAGCGUCGGCGACAGGGAGGGGAGGAUCUCAAGACCUUUAAUUAGCUGGGAAUUGCACCCUCUCUAGUGGCUUGCUUGUGAGAACUAGAGAGCUAAGGAACAGCUCCUCAAAGAGGAAGAUGGCACUUGCCAGAAGGCAGAGCUAAAGCACGCAGAUGUGCAGUGAGAAGACAGAUGCUACACCCAGAUCUAAUGUGUGGUCUCUGGAUCAGCAGCACAGCCAUGACCCUGGAGCUGAAGGGCAGGAUAGAGGGUCCUCCCCAGAACUACUGAGUCAGAAUCUGCAUCAUAGCAAGAUCCAUGGGGAUCUGGUUGCACAUGAGACUUUGAGAAACACUUGUCUAAAAACAAGUAAGAUAAAAGAGUCAAGCAUGGUGAAACCCUCUCUCCUCUCCAGGACUUGGAAAUGCCCAGAUAACGGCACCUUCCCUCAUGUUUAAUCUUUUCCACCCAACCUUACUAGGCUAGAAAUAGCCGCCAUUCGGUCCUGGGAGGAUCCUGGAUUCUGACGGGGCAUCGAGAGUGGAUGCAGCACUGUCACUGGGUUCCCCGCCUUGGUGUUACAGCUUCCACUGCCCACACGGGGAGUAAGAAGUGGGUUUCCAGAAUAAUCCCUCUCUGGCUUCCAUCGCUGCAGGAGACUUUACAGCCACCAGGGAUGACCCCAAGCCCACGCCCCAGGUGAAGGUCAAGCAACCGGAACAAUGCCACUCAGCUCAGAUCACUAGGACAGGAAGCCCAGGAAAAUUCCCUUCGGAGAUCAGCCUUCUACGAAACUAGAAGUUGCAUGCUACUGACUCCAGACCCAGGAGAGGCAGACACAGCACACACAGUAAAGGGGGAAAAGUUUCCUGGUGAGUCCUACAGAAUGACGGGGCUCAUUCACUCCUUAGAAAAGCACCUCUCUGCAUCCAUGGGGGCCUCAGGAUGACGGUGGAAAUGCCUGCUGCCAUCUCAGCUUUACUUGCGUGACUCUCCCCAGAUCCCCAGGCCUCGUCAGCAGAGACACAUCUAUCGAUAAUUACAGAAUACACAGCUUUGGGGGGCAUUUCCCUUCCAUUCACGACAUUUAGUGGUGUCAGUCUGAGCAUAAAUACAAUUAGAUUUGAGAGUUCUAUUACAAAAGCCAAUAAAGCGGGCCUCAGUAGAGAUUCUAAAAUUACUUAACUUUUCUUUAGAAAAAUAUUAAAACAGUAUUAUCACAUCAAUGAGAAGAAAAGACAGCAAGAUAAUAAAGUUAUGUUAAACCUCCCUGUAUUUACUCAUGUGUGAAACAGUUAUGUCUGGUCACAUAAUUGCAAUGGUUCUGAGAAAUAUUUCAUAUUUUAUAAUGAACAUUAAAAGAGUUUGUGGAUCAUUACUUUAUAUGAGUUCCAAAGUUAUUACAUAAAACCCAAUAGGAAUGGUUAUAAAUUAUCAGAUCCUCUGGCCUGGCCUUGGUAAACAUAACAUGAAGACUGAGACAUUUCAGCAGACAAGAUUCAUGAGAAGAGGUAAAAAUUCUUCCUGCAUUUUAAGGAGAAAAGAAGACCAGAGUACUUGUAACCAGCUCUUAGCAUUUUUGUUUCUGUUUCAAAGAAAUUCUAUUGAACCACUUGCUUAAGCCACACACACACAAAGCUUCUGUUAGAACAAAAGAGUAGUUCCUUUAGACACUGCCCUCAUCGCCUCAUUUUUCAUUAUCCUAUCUGUGGCCUUAAGGUCACUGCCAAAUUCUUGAAUUUUUCAACACAGUGUGGGUUUAAAAUGCUGUACUUAGCAGGCUCAUACGAUACCCAACAAUUCUUUAUUUUCAAAAGGAGAUCCUCUCUUUGAAAUCUGAAAAUAUGGCAUCUUUACAGAAAUUGGAGAGUUGAUAACAUUCUGAGGAAGUUUUCUUUUGGGGUCUGCAGAAUAGGUUUGCAGACAGAAUUUUAAUUACAAACUAUCAUUUGUGAACCACGGUUAAGCAUGAAAUGGAUGCUAUUCAAUUUCCUCGUGCUUAUUCUCUUUUUUAAAAAUAAAUCACAGCAUUAUAUUUUGUUCUGAAAAAUCACACCUGGAGCUUCCCUUCCUCCCUCCCCCUUGCUUUCUGCACGGUGAAAGAGUUAAGUAUGGGAAGAAUAGCAGCUGGGUAAACAAAGUUAAGGACCAGAGAAGUAACGUCAAAUCUUCUUGUCAGCAUCCAAGAGGCACAGUGCCCAACUGGGGCGCUUUCUGAUGAAACACACAGGCAACAUUUGCUACCUGGUUCUAGGAAAUACAGGCACCUCCCUCGCCUUUGU
rnacentral:lncRNA from 1 species